GCAACCAUCCAUCCAUCGGGUCGGGAUUCGAUUCCCGGGGUCAAAUAAAGAAAUAAAUAAAAACCAACCUUCCUUCCUAGCACGGUGGUCAACUGGUCAUCAUCAUCAUCAUCUACAUCUAACAUCUAGUCUUCUGCUUUGAAGGUUGAACCAUAAGCACCGCUCUCAAUGGCAAGUGCAAGUGUUGUUGUUGGUGUUGGUGAAGCAGAAGAAGAAGAACACAAUAAUAAGCUGAUUCUGUAUUCAUUUUGGAGAAGUUCAUGUUCCUUCCGAGUCCGAAUUGCUCUUAACUUUAAAGGCCUCAAAUAUGACUACAAACAAGUCAAUCUCUUGAAGGGAGAACAAUCUCAUCCUGAGUUUCUCCAGCUCAACCCUGUUGGUUUUGUUCCUGUUCUUGUCGAUGGCCCUGCUGUUAUUUCCGACUCUUUCGCCAUUAUUAUGUAUUUGGAGGAUAAGUACCCUCAACAUCCUUUGCUCCCUACUGAUAUUCACAAAAGAGCAAUCAAUUUCCAGGCUGUCAGUAUUGUUUCUUCAUCAAUACAACCUCUUCAAAACCUAAGUCUCCUGACGUACAUAGAGGGAAAAGCUGGCCCUGAUGAAAAACUUUCAUGGGUCCAGAGUGUAAUUAAAAAAGGCUUCACAGCUCUUGAAAAGCUAUUGAAAGAACACACUGGGAGGUUUGCUACUGGAGAUGAAGUUUUCAUGGCAGAUAUAUUUUUAGCACCUCAGAUACACUCUGCAUUUAAGAAAUUCAACAUUGACAUGGUAGUAUUCUAUGGUCUCCUGUAUAUUUUAUGUGGGGGAAUAAGGUGUUGUAAUGAAACAUGUGGCUUGUAUUGCUGCGGUGCCAUCACCGCAGCUGCUUUGAUCAUGGAUGUAUCUUUGUGUUUUGUCCACACUUCAAACAAAUAUAGGCUGUUGCCUAAAGGCCUUUGGCCAUUGCCUAUUUGCUUGAGCUAUUAGUUGAUUUAGAUUGAAUAAUUGCGUCAACAUUUCUUCGUGUUAUUCAAAUCAAGCAGCUAAUAAUAUGAAUGUGUAAGAUGAUUAAUCUCAGUCUUUGUUCAUAUAUGUUUGAUUACAAAAUUUUGGGAAACUGCAUGACUUUCUUGCCUGUACCACUUGAUGGCUGUUGGAGAAGUACAUGCAAUCAAGGUCAUUCAACCAGAAAGAGGAUGCAUUGAUAACAGGGUGUUCAAUAUGGAUAAAACCGGUCAUUCUGGAACUCUCAAAAUUUUGAAACCUUUUAUUUUCUAUAGUGAAAUAUUCUGUCAUGUAUCAAAUUGCAUUGCCCGAGUUCAUCAGAUGACUUACUUUUCCCUUAAUUCACCAAGCAGACUGAGUUCCCUACUCUAUCAAGAUUACACGAGACAUAUUAUGAGGUCCCAGCAUUCCGGGAGGCUUUGCCAGAGAAUCAACCAGAUGCAGCAGGCUAGCUGAGUCAAUGAUUUGGGGCUGAAAUCCGACCUGAUGUUAGGUUGGAGAAAUUGCAGCAGGACCUACUGAUUUAGCAUCUGGUUGAAUUUGUAACAACAAUAAGUUACUUUAUGUAGCAAUAAGGUACUAUCCCACGUGUAGUUCGUGCAGUUUAUUGUAUUGGUCAAAACAAGUCGAUGAAUUUGAUUUGAACUAAAUACAUCUACUUGCUUCGACCAAUUUUUGCUUAUAAUCUGACACAAAAUGAGUAUAUGAGUACAAAAAUCCCAGUGUUUAGUUUCUACCCUGUAUUUUCAGUAAAAACAUUUUUAUCUUUUUGCGGAAAUAUGGAUCUGACAACACCAUGGAUUGUGUUCAUAGAUAGUUUUAAUUCCACUUUAUUUUUUUAUUUUAUAGUUUUGACAUGUAAUUUUCAUUCUUUAUCUCUGCCACUAUCUCUGAUUAGUGGACUAUCAUUUUAAUUUAAUUAUUUUAAAAAAUAAUUAAGAUGUGAGACAUAAAGUUAUGAUCUCAAU